CCCUUAGAUGUUCUGGGCAGCACGCGCGCUACAAUGGUCUUCGCAAACGGAUGCAUUCUCGAAGGAGAAUGCCAAUCUUGGAAUCUAUGCCUUGGUCGGGACAGUUGCUUGCAAUUUUUCGACUCGAACCAGGAAUUCCUUGUAAUCGUGAUUCAUCACAUCACGAUGAAUACGUCCCUGCCCUUUGCACACACCGCCCGUCGCUCCUACCGAUCGAAGAGUUAGGUGAAUUGUUUUGAUCGAUAAGAUUUGACUAUGGUCAACUCUCGUUGUGAAAUUCUGUGAAGCUGACUGUUUAGAGGAAGGAAAAGUCGUAACA
rnacentral:rRNA from 1 species